rnacentral:rRNA from 1 species
AGAGUUUGAUCCUGGCUCAGAUUGAACGCUGGCGGCAUGCCUAACACAUGCAAGUCGAGCGGCAGCAUGAUGUGUAGCAAUACACAUUGAUGGCGAGCGGCGGACGGGUGAGUAAUGUAUGGGGAUCUGCCCAGUAGCGGGGGGACAACCCGGAGAAAUCCGGGCUAAUACCGCAUACGCCCUACGGGGGAAAGCGGAGGACCGAAAGGCUUCGCACUAUUGGAGGAACCCAUACCCGAUUAGCUAGUUGGUGAGGUAACGGCUCACCAAGGCGACGAUCGGUAGCUGGUCUGAGAGGACGAUCAGCCACACCGGAACUGAGACACGGUCCGGACUCCUACGGGAGGCAGCAGUGGGGAAUAUUGGACAAUGGGGGAAACCCUGAUCCAGCAAUGCCGCGUGGGUGAAGAAGGCCUGCGGGUUGUAAAGCCCUUUCGGUGAAGACAAAACGCGACGUGCUAAUACCACGUUGUUUUGAUUUAACUCACUAAAGAAGCACCGGCUAACUCUGUGCCAGCAGCCGCGGUAAUACAGAGGGUGCGAGCGUUAAUCGGAAUUACUGGGCGUAAAGCGCACGUAGGUGGCUUGAUAAGUUGGAUGUGAAAUCCCCGAGCUUAACUUGGGAAUUGCAUUCAAGACUGUCUUGCUAGAGUGUGGAAGAGGGAAGCGGAAUUCCAGGUGUAGCGGUGAAAUGCGUAGAUAUCUGGAGGAACAUCAGUGGCGAAGGCGGCUUCCUGGUCCAACACUGACACUGAGGUGCGAAAGCGUGGGGAGCAAACAGGAUUAGAUACCCUAGUAGUCC